rnacentral:rRNA from 1 species
ACCUAUAAUGUGUUAUCCUUUCAAACCACUACUUUAUUCAUUUGUACACUCGAUAUGUUUUUUACUGUUUUACUACUAAAGAUUAUUACUUAUUAUGUACGUGACAAGUAGAAAAGUUUUAGUGACAAGAUAGUGCGUCUUAAGGAAAACCUUAAAAAUUUUGAAAUUUAUACUAAAAAUUUGAUAAGUUUUAAUUAUUCCAGGAGAUUACGUGGGCUCGAGGUUUUUCAGUGACAUAGAAGCGAUGCUUUAGUUUUGUCAGUACAGAUAUGUAAAAAAUGUCCGUGGCGUGCGCGGUGCGUCCUGUGCGAGCCAGGCGGCCAGUAGCGCAGAUGAACGCGGGCGCUGGCAACUGCAGCUGCAGCGGCCGCGCCUCCUGCUGCAGCGCCUACAAGCACUGCUUGAGCAGGGUCGGCUCGGUGCUCGGGGCGUGGCGCCCCAGCUUCGAGCGGCUCUUGUGGGGCAUGCCGUGCGGGUCCUCCUCCGGCUUGUCGUCCUUGCGGUGGGUCUGCCCGCCGACGUCCAGCAGCUCGGGCCACCGGCGCCGGCGGCGCGCGUCCCGGCGGAGCGGCCGGCGCCACCGGCGCUCGCGCCGGCGCCCGUGGGCGGCGCGGCACGCGGUGUCGUGGAGGAGGCUGAGCUCCUUGCUCUCCAGCGGCGGCGCGAGGGCGGCGGGCUGGGUGAGCAGGGUGAGGAGCAGCGACUGGCUGCGCAGGCGGUGGUCGUCGCUGGGCUCCUGCUUCCUCCGCUCCCUCAUCUGCUCGCCGUAGGUGCGCCCCUGCGCCAGCUGCGGGCGCCGCAGCGGCUCCAUCGGGUCGUCGCGCCCGUGGGGGCGCUUCCUCUUCCGGCGCUGCCGGCCCUCGAAGGUCUCGUGCGGCUCCAGCCCCGAGGCCGGGCCCUCCAGCCGCAGCUCCUCCCUGGCCUCCUCGAGCAGCAGGAGCGGCGGCUUGUGGAGGCUGAGCAGCCGGUCGGGGCGCAGCUGCUCCAAGACCUCCUUCCACGCCUCCAGCAACAACGACAAGGCCAUCCGCAGCUCCUCGAAGGGACGGUCGCAGGGCUCUAGCAGGAGCCCCCCGAACGACCGGAGCAGAAGCCACCGCAGGCACGGCGCCGACGGCGGCCCCGAGCUCGCUUCCGCCUCCACUGCCACCGCUUCUGCCCACCCCUCGACCUCUCUGCUCGCCCCCCCUUCCCCGCCGGCCCUCAUCUCCCCCCUCCUCCAGGCCCACCCCCACUCAGCCCUCUCCUCCUCCCUGAGGUAACAAAACGAAGAGGGGCAAGAAUAGGGUGCCGGCCCCGGGCCACCCUAAUAAAUCCCCUCGACAGUUUAAACCCCUGAAAAACCAAGUAGGGCAACGAUACCGGGAAGAAAAAAGAGGAACAUACAAAAACGAUAUAAAAGACGAACGUUACCAGAUUCGUAAUGUAUUAGGGCCCGGGCGAUUUGUUCCCAAUGCUAGAAGUGAGACAGUGGGGGCUGAACCAGAAAAAGCGUGAAAGUGCCGAUAAACUAGGAAGGUGCAGGAAGCGGGCCGGCAUCCGCCUACUAUCCCAAUAAGUUGGGAAGUGUUCAAGCCCCAUCUCAAUUUUGAACUACUUAAAAAAACCCGGGAAAUGUUCACUG